rnacentral:rRNA from 1 species
UGGGGAAUUUUGCGCAAUGGGGGAAACCCUGACGCAGCAACGCCGCGUGCGGGAUGAAGGCCUUCGGGUUGUAAACCGCUUUCAGCAGGGAAGAUUUUGACGGUACCUGCAGAAGAAGCCCCGGCUAACUACGUGCCAGCAGCCGCGGUAAUACGUAGGGGGCGAGCGUUAUCCGGAUUCAUUGGGCGUAAAGCGCGCGUAGGCGGCUUGCUAAGCGUGACCUCUAAUCUCGGGGCUCAACCUCGAGCCGGGUCACGAACUGGUAGGCUCGAGUUUGGUAGAGGCAGGCGGAAUUCCCGGUGUAGCGGUGGAAUGCGCAGAUAUCGGGAGGAACACCGAUGGCGAAGGCAGCCUGCUGGGCCAUAACUGACGCUGAGGCGCGAAAGCUAGGGGAGCGAACAGG